AUCCUUUAGCUACAUCUACCAUCUGUCCUUAAGCCUUUAACUUAUCAGCUUAAUAUCUGAUAUGGUCCCUAUUUGGGGCCAUCGAUAUCAAACUGAUUUUUAGAAUGAGGCAAAGAGUUAGGGGCUUGCUCCGCCUUUGCCAUGGGUUGGCCUGGUAUAGCAGUGCUUCCAGGAUUCAGCCCAUCUCCC